AAUCGCAACGUGAAAACAAAGCAAGAAGAGCUGUGACCUAAUAGUGCUGGGUUUGCCUUAGAAGAGCACAGACGAUGACUUGAAGACUUAUUUCUCACAGUUUGGUGAAGUCAUCAUGGCACAGUUGAGGGAGAUAGCAUUGGUGAGCGCCUGGCCUGGUGGUGGUCCUCUUUCAUAAGUUUAAAAUGGAGAAAACGACAUCAGCAAAUGGGAUUUAUAAGAGUCCUUGCCUAGUUGUGAUACCAUUGGAUCUUGGUACCCUUUAAGAUCUCCAUCAAUGACACACAUGGCGUUGUCACUGGUCUAGAAUACUAGGAGCUACUACCCCCAACCUCACCCUCAGUACUGCGGCUGUGGUACUAAGAGACCGUGACGGCUACGAAAGGGCAGUUUUCCACAUAUAAUGCCCGAAUGCAGAUACCUUCAACCCUAGCCCAUAUGCCAAAGAUGUGAAACGAGCCCCUGUUGCCACUUCCAUUGAUGAUCGGAAGUUCUAGCAGUCUCGGUUUUUAAGGACACAGCCUGUCUGCAAAAAAUAUUUUAGAGAAUGUGGAACGGUACUUAAUUAAGAGCGAUACUCUGAAUGUAAGAGGAAUGCAAUCUAAUAAUGUACUGAAGUCUUUUAUAUAUUGAAAAUCUUUGCGCAUCAUGGGUCACAGAUAUGAGUCGGGUGUAAUUGUUUUAAGAGAGUGAAACAUUUUAUUCCAAUAGCUUAGGAGAAAACUGAUGUUCAGUAUGAUCAUUCAUAAUUCCAUAAAUGUCCAAUUGAAUGGGAUAUAUUGUGGUUCAGUGUGAAAAAAUUAAUCUGCUUCUAUAUACAGUUAUUAAAAUUUAAAAUGGAAUAUCCAGUUGCUAUUUCCACAUUCUAAAUGCAUAUAGAUGCAAACAAAAUCAUUGGUACUUGUAGUACCACCACUUAUGGUCGUCUGUGUUUUAUUUCAAUCUUAGUGAUGUAGUCAUUUUUCAAAUUUGUGCUUUUGAUGAUGUGGAGUUGUUCGUCAGUAUAGCGUUUGAGAAGAUCAUAAGCCGCACACUAACCUCGAGUAACCCGCGCAUUACUAAUAUUACUAAUAUAUUAUGAUUUUCUCAAGUGUUAUAGUUGACAAACAUUUCCAAUUCAUCAUAUAUGCACCUUUUUUCUCCGGACACAAGAAUUCAUAUUGAAAUUGGCAUGGACGGUCAUACAGUGUAAUGUGAAAUAUGAAAUGUGUCAUAGCAAGCUUGCUUUUCUUGUAUCACAUAGCUAGUUGCGA